rnacentral:autocatalytically_spliced_intron from 1 species
CUGUUAUUGAACGGCCGUUGUUGUGCGAUGGGGUUCAUACCUUAAUCUGCCAAAACGGGACCUCUGUUGAGGUAUAACCAAUAUUCCGUACUAAGGAUUUCGAUCCAGAACGUCUAGAGACUACACGGUAGACCAAUUUUGGUGGUAUGAAUGGAUAGUCCCUAGUAACCAUCUAGGCAUCCCAUACAAAAUGGUUA